CCCUUAGAUGUCCGGGGCUGCACGCGCGCUACACUGAAGGAAUCAGCGUGCUAAAACCAUUGUCGAAAGGCAUUGGUAAACCCAUUAAAAUCCUACGUGAUUGGGAUCGGGAAUUGCAAUUAUUUCCCUUGAACGAGGAAUUCCCAGUAAGUGUGGGUCAUAAGCUCGCGUUGAUUACGUCCCUGCCCUUUGUACACACCGCCCGUCGCUGCCCGGGACUGAGCCGUUUCGAGAAAAGCGGGGACUGCUGCUGUCGGGGCUUUCGGGCCUUGGCGUCGGUGGAAACCGCUUUAAUCGCAGUGGCUUGAACCGGGCAAAAGUCGUAACA
rnacentral:rRNA from 1 species